CAUCCUUCCUGACCAGUCCAGGUGGCUGUGCUCCUGCAGUCUCCUCCCUGGUCUCGCACACUUUGACUUCCUUACUCAGGAGGCAUUGUGAAGUCUCCCCGCGAUGCCACUCCACCUCCUCUGGGAUUCUCUGCCACUCAAGUGCUGGGACGGGAAGGAGGCACCCUGAGUUUAUUGUGUGAGUUGAAGUGGAAGGUGAUGAAUGGCGGCUUCCCUUGGACAACAGAUCUGGCCUUGGAGUGAAAGGAGGAAGAGGCUGAGUGCAGAAUGAGAGAUCCAUGUAGCCACCACUGAGAACUUCAGACCAGAAGAGACAAGCAGAGAUACUGCAACGCACUCAUCCAGAGCAGAGGAACCCUAUUUUGAGUUUACCUAUAGGACCUUAUAACAGGCAAACAUAUGAUGUCUUCAUAGUAUUAGAAAUAAUGAAAUGAAGGACUAUAUCAGUGACCUCCUGAAAGGUUAACUGGAAA
rnacentral:lncRNA from 10 species